UCCAUGCCGGUGGGCUCCGUGCCCUGCGGGCGCUGCCGAGCGGCGGGCGCGGCCUCAGGGUCAUCCGUGGAGGCACCUUCCCUUCCCCCCACCGACAGAUGAUGCAGCCUCCGCGCCUUCUGUCCAGUCGCAUUUUGGAGCACUGGCGGCGUUUGUUCCAGGAUCUUCCGUUGUAAAUGUGUUCAGGAGACGUGGCACUGAAGCUGGAGAACAGCAUGUACAGUAUAGAAGGCCCUUAGGUUGUAAAUGCCUGCUGUACCCUCAGAUGCUUGAGUUUACAUAGAGAUGUGUAUUUCUGGACAUAAUACAGAAGAAACUGGUCAGCAGCUGGGAGACUGGAAGAACUUUGCUUGUGCAAAAGCGAGUUGUGCAGCAGAGCCUGUGAGUUGAAGAUGAAUGAAGAUCAUCGUGAUAAAUGUUUUCCAAAAACUUGUUAUACAGGAUGGCUGCGAAAAAACCACUAAGAGGACAACUGCAUCUAAUAAGCAUAUAGGUACCUGCAGAUGAAUGCUCAAGUCUUUAGCAGUGGUAUUUAAAAAAUCUUCAUUGCCUCAAAGGUUCGGCAUACAACUUUUUGGAAGGAAAAAUGAAUUGGUCAAGAAGACAUGAAUGGAAGCAAAUGAUAAAAAUAUUUUAUUUAACAUUGAUCAUCUCACAAUAAAUUACGUAUAAAAUUACCACA